CAAGUCGAGCGGCAGCGCGGGGCAACCUGGCGGCGAGCGGCGAACGGGUGAGUAAUGCAUCGGAACAUGUCCAUGUCGUGGGGGAUAGCCCGGCGAAAGCCGGAUUAAUACCGCAUACGCCCGAGAGGGGAAAGUGGGGGACUCGAAAGGGCCUCACGCGAUUGGGUUGGCCGAUGUCCGAUUAGCUAGUUGGUGGGGUAAAGGCUUACCAAGGCGAUGAUCGGUAGCUGGUCUGAGAGGAUGAUCAGCCACACUGGGACUGAGACACGGCCCAGACUCCUACGGGAGGCAGCAGUGGGGAAUUUUGGACAAUGGUGGCAACCCUGAUCCAGCCAUUCCGCGUGAGUGAAGAAGGCCUUCGGGUUGUAAAGCUCUUUUGUCCGGAACGAAACGGUGAGCGUGAAUAUCGCUCGCUACUGACGGUACCGGAAGAAUAAGCACCGGCUAACUACGUGCCAGCAGCCGCGGUAAUACGUAGGGUGCGAGCGUUAAUCGGAAUUACUGGGCGUAAAGCGUGCGCAGGCGGUUUUGUAAGCCAGAUGUGAAAUCCCCGGGCUUAACCUGGGAAUGGCAUUUGGGACUGCAAGGCUGGAGUGCGGCAGAGGAGACUGGAAUUCCUGGUGUAGCAGUGAAAUGCGUAGAUAUCAGGAGGAAUACCGAUGGCGAAGGCAGGUCUCUGGGCUGACACUGACGCUCAUGCACGAAAGCGUGGGGAGCAAACAGGAUUAGAUACCCUGGUAGUCCACGCCCUAAACGAUGUCGACUGGUUGUUGGGGGGUUUGACACUCUCAGUAACGAA
rnacentral:rRNA from 1 species